AACGAACGCUGGCGGCAUGCCUAACACAUGCAAGUCGAACGAGACCUUCGGGUUUAGUGGCGCACGGGUGCGCAACGCGUGGGAACCUGCCCUUAGGUUCGGAAUAACUCCCCGAAAGGGGUGCUAAUACCGGAUAAUGUCUUCGGACCAAAGCUUUAUCGCCAUUGGAUGGGCCCGCGUUGGAUUAGCUAGUUGGUAGGGUAAGAGCCUACCAAGGCGACGAUCCUUAGCUGGUCUGAGAGGAUGAUCGGCCACACUGGGACUGAGACACGGCCCAGACUCCUACGGGAGGCAGCAGUGGGGGAUAUUGAACAAUGGGCGAAAGCCUGAUCCAGCAAUGCCGCGUGAGUGAUGAAGGCCUUAGGGUUGUAAAGCUCUUUUACCCGGGAAGAUAAUGACAGUACCGGGAGAAUAAGCUCCGGCUAACUCCGUG
rnacentral:rRNA from 1 species